UAAAAAAAAAUUCAUCUAUUUGUAUUGUUAAAAUCUGGUGUGAUUGUGAAAUAAUCAAACAGUGACAUAUGGCGCAUGUCAUGUGUACCUCAUGUUGACAUAUAAAGAUAAGCUUUUAACACUAGAAAUUGAUGAAAUUUUUAAUA
rnacentral:pre_miRNA from 1 species